rnacentral:rRNA from 1 species
AUUGAACGCUGGCGGCAGGCCUAACACAUGCAAGUCGAGCGAGCGGCGGACGGGUGAGUAAUGUCUGGGAAACUGCCUGCUGGAGGGGGAUAACUACUGGAAACGGUAGCUAAUACCGCAUACCAUCAGAUGUGCCCAGAUGGGAUUAGCUAGUAAGUGGGGUAACGGCUCACCUAGGCGACGAUCCCUAGCUGGUCUGGGAGGAUGACCAGCCCCCCUGGAACUGAGACACGGUCCACACUCCUCCCCUCCUCCUCCUUUUUCCCUAUUUCAACCUUCUCGCAAGCCUGAUCCAGCCAUGCCGCGUGUGUGAAUACUUCCUUCAGAUUUUCAUGCACUUUCAGCGGGGAGGCGUUACCCGCAGAAGAAGCACCGGCUAACUCCGUGCCAGCAGCCGCGGUAAUAC